CAAAUUAUAGGGGUCCCAGAAGAAGAGAAAAAGAAAGGGACUGAGAAAAUAUUUGAAGAGAUUAUACAGAAGAACGGAUAAGUGACCUGGAAGAUAAAAUAGUGGAAAUGACUACCACAGAACUGAAUAAAGAGAAAAGAAUGAAAAGAAUUGAAGACAGUCUCAGAGACCUCUGGGACAACAUUAAAUGCACCAACAUUCAAAUUAUGGGGGUCCCAGAAGAAGAAGAAGAAAAGAAAGUGUCUGAGAAAAUAUUUGAAGAGAUUAUAGUUGAAAACUUCCCUAAUAUGGAAAGAAAAUAGUCAAUCAAGUCCAGGAAGCACAGAGAGUCCCAUACAGGAUGAACCCAAAGAGAAACACACCAAGACACAUAUUCAUCAAACUAUCAAGAAUUAAACACAAAGAAAAAAUAUUAAAAGCAGCAGGAAAAAGCAACAAAUAACAUACAAGGGAAUCCCCAUAAGGUUAACAGCCGAUCUUCUAGCAAACACUCUGCAAGCCAGAAGGGAGCAACAGGACAUAUUUAAAGAGAUGAAAGGAAAACACUUGCAACCAAUAUUACUCUACCCAGCAAGGAUCUAAUUCAGAUUCAGUGGAGAAAUUAAAACCUUUACAGACAAGCAAAAGUUACGAGAAUUCAGCACCACCAAACCAGCUUUACAACAAAUGCUAAAGGAACUUCUCUAGGCAGGAAGCACAAGAGAAGGAAAAGACCUACAAUAACAAACCCAAAACAAUUAAGAAAGUGACAAUAGGAACAUACAUACUGAUAAUUACCUUAAAUGUAAAUGGAUUAAAUGCUCCAACCAAAAGACAUAGACUGGCUGAAUGGAUACAGAAACAAGACCUGUAUAUAUGCUGUCUACAAGAGACCCAGUUCAGACCUAGGGACACAUACGGACUGAAAGUGAGGGGAUAGAAAAACAUAUUCCAUGCAAAUGGAAAUCAAAAGAAAGCUGGAGUAGCAAUUCUUAUAGUAGAAAUAAUAGACUUUAAAAUAAAGACUAUUACAAGAGACAAAGAAGGAUACUACAUAAUGAUCAAAAUAUAACAACUGUAAAUAUUUAUGCACCCAACAUAGAAGCACCUCAAUACAUAAGACAAAUGCUAACAGCCAUUAAAGGGGAAAUCGACAGUAACACAGUUAUAGUAAGGGACUUUAACACCCCACUUUCACCAAUGGACAGAUCAUCCAAAAUGAAAAUAAGGAAACACAAGCUUUAAAUGACACAUUAGACAAGAUGGACUUAAUGGAUAUUUAUAGGACAUUUCCAUCCAAAAACAACAGAAUACACUUUCUUCUCAAGUGCUCAUGGAACAUUCUCCAAAAUAGAUCAUACCUCGUGUCACAAAUCAAGCCUCAGUAAAUUUAAGAAAAUUGAAAUCGUAUCAAAUACCUUUUCUGACCAAAACGCUAUGAGACUAGAUAUCCAUUACAGGAAAAAAAAACUGUAAAAUAUACAAACACAUGGAGGCUAAACAGUACACUACUAAAUAACCAAGAGAUCACACUAAAGAAACCAAAGAGGAAAUCAAAAAAUACCUAGAAAAAGAUGACAAUGAAAACACAAUGACCCAAAAUCGAUGGAAUGCAGCAAAAGCAGUUCUAAGAGAGAAGUUUAUAGCAAUACAAUCCUACCUCAGUAAACAAGAAAAAUCUCAAGUAAGCAACCUAAAUUUACAGCUAAAGCAAUUAGAGAAAGAAGAACAACAAAAAGUUAGCAGAAGGAGAGGGCUUCCUUGGCAGCAUAGUGGUUGAGAGUCCGCCUGCCGAUGCAGGGGACACGGGUUCGUGCCCCGGUCCGGGAAGAUCCCACAUGCCAUGGAGCAGCUGAGCCCGUGAGCCACGGCCGCUAAGCCUGUGCGUCCAGAGCCUGUGCUCCACAAUGGGAGAGGCCACAGCGGUGAGAGGCCUGUGUACCGCAAAAAAAAAAAAAAAAAAAAAAAAAAAAAAGGAAAGAAAUAAAGAUCAGAUCAGAAAUAAAUGAAAAAGAAAUGAAGAAAACGAUAGCAAAGAUCAAAAAACUAAAACCUGGUUCUUUGAGAAGAUAAACAAAAUUGAUAAACAAUUAGCCAAACUCAUCAGGAAAAAAAGGUAGAAGACUCAAAUCAACAGAAUUAGAAAUGUAAAAGGAGAAAUAACAACUGACACUGCAGAAAUACAAAGGACCAUGAGAGAUUACUACAAGCAACUAUAUGCCAGUAAAAUGGACAACCUGGAAGAAACAAAUUCUUAGAAAAGCACAAUCUUCCGAGACUGAACCAGGAAGAAAUAGAAAAUAUGAACAGACCAAUCAAAAGCACUGAAUUUGAAACUGUGAUUAAAAAUCUUCCAACAAACAAAAGCCCAGGACCAGAUGGAUUCACAGGCGAAUUCUAGCAAACAUUUAGAGAAGAGCUAACACCUAUCAUUCCCAAACUCUUCCAAAAUGUAGCAGAGGAACACUCCCAAACUUGUUCUACGAGGCCACCAUCACCCUGAUACCAAAACCAGACAAAGAUGUCACAAAAAAAGAAAACUAAAGGCCAAUAUCACUGAUGAACAUAGAUGCAAAAAUACUCAACAAAAUACUACCAAACAGAAUCCAACAGCAAAUUAACAGGAUCAUACACCAUGAUCAAGUGGGAUUUAUUCCAGGGAUGCAAGGAUUGUUCAAUAUACACAAAUCGAUCAACAUGAUACUCCAUAUUAACAAAUUGAAGGAUAAAAACUAUAUGAUAAUUUCAAUCGAUGCAGAAAAAGCUUUUGACAAAAUUCCACACCCAUUUAUGAUAAAAACUCUCCAGAAAGUAGGCACAGAGGGAACCUACCUCAACAUAAUAAAGGCCAUAUAUGACAAACCCACAGCCAACAUCGUUCUCAGUGGUGAAAAAAAUGAAAUCAUUUCCACUAAGAUCAGGAACAGGACAAGUUUGCCCACUCUCACCACUAUUAUUCAACAUAGUUUUGGACGUUUUAGCCACAGCAAUCAGAGACAAAAAAGAAAUAAAAGGAAUCCAAAUUGGAAAAGAAGUAAAACUGUCACUGUUGCAGAUGAUAUGAUACUAUACAUAGAGAAUCCUAAAGAUGCUACCAGAAAACUACUAGAGCUAAUCAAUGAAUUUGGUAAAGUAGCAGGAUACAAAAUUAAUGCACAGAAAUCUCUUGCAUUCCUAUACACUAACAACGAAAAAUCUGAAAGAGAAAUUAAGGAAACAAUCUCAUUCACCAUUGCAAUAAAAAGAAUAAAA